GUAGGUGGCAAGCGUUGUCCGGAAUUAUUGGGGCGUAAAGCGCGCGCAGGCGGUUCUUUAAGUCUGAUGUGAAAGCCCACGGGCUCAACCGUGGAGGGUCAUUGGAAACUGGAGAACUUGAGUACAGAAGAGGAAAGCGGAAUUCCACGUGUAGCGGUGAAAUGCGUAGAGAUGUGGAGGAACACCAGUGGCGAAGGCGGCUUUCUGGUCUGUAACUGACGCUGAGGCGCGAAAGCGUGGGGAGCAAACAGGAUAGAUACCCUGGUAGUCCACGCCGUAAACGAUGAGUGCUAAGUGUUAGGGGGUUUCCGCCCCUUAGUGCUGCAGCUAACGCAUUAAGCACUCCGCCUGGGGAGUACGGCCGCAAAGGCUG
rnacentral:rRNA from 1 species